rnacentral:rRNA from 1 species
AAUGAACGCUGGCGGCAGGCCUAACACAUGCAAGUCGAACGGAUCCUUCGGGAUUAGUGGCGGACGGGUGAGUAACGCGUGGGAACAUACCCAAAGGUACGGAAUAGCCUCGGGAAACUGGGAGUAAUACCGUAUGUGCUCGAAAGAGGAAAGAUUUAUCGCCUUUGGAUUGGCCCGCGUUGGAUUAGGUAGUUGGUGGGGUAAUGGCCUACCAAGCCGACGAUCCAUAGCUGGUUUGGGAGGAUGAUCAGCCACACUGGGACUGACACGGCCCAGACUCCUACGGGAGGCAGCAGUGGGGAAUCUUAGACAAUGGGGGAAACCCUGAUCUAGCCAUGCCGCGUGAUCGAUGAAGGCCUUAGGGUUGUAAAGAUCUUUCAGGUGGGAAGAUAAUGACUGUACCACCAGAAGAAGCCCCGGCUAACUCCGUGCCAGCCGCCGCGGUAA